rnacentral:miRNA from 1 species
CUUCUUGGAGUGUGUGUGGGUGUAUAUAUAUAUAUAUAUAUAUAUAUGUAUAUAUAUGUAUAUACACACACACACAAAUACACACGAGG